GAGAACGACUGUGCCACGUUGAAUACACCAGUUCUCGCCCGAUCACUGAAGUUAAGCGACGUCGGGAGUGGUCAGUACUCGGAUGGGUGACAGUCUGGGAGAUCACGUGUUGUUGGUU
rnacentral:rRNA from 1 species